rnacentral:rRNA from 1 species
CGCAUCUGUGCAUGCAGCAUAUCAAUAAGCGGAGGAAAAGAAACUAACAAGGAUUCCCCUAGUAACGGCGAGUGAAGCGGGAAAAGCUCAAAUUUGAAAUCUUAAAGGGUUUCCCUUUACGGAAUUGUAGUUUAAAGAAGUGUUUUCUGUUGAGGUUUUGGUAAAAGUUCUUUGGAAUAGGACAUCAUAGAGGGUGAGAAUCCCGUAUUUGACCUUUACUUUCAACUUUGUGAUACACUUUCAAAGAGUCGGAUUGUUUGGGAAUGCAGUCCAAAAUGGGUGGUAAAUUUCAUCUAAAGCUAAAUAUUGGCGAGAGACCGAUAGCGAACAAGUACCGUGAGGGAAAGAUGAAAAGAACUUUGAAAAGAGAGUUAAACAGUACGUGAAAUUGUCAAAAGGGAAGCGUUUGACACCAGUGUUGUUUUUCUGAAAAUCAAUUAAAGAACUGUUUAUGCUAAGCUGUUUAGACUUUAUCAGCUAACUGUUUAGUUUUGAGCUUUUCUUUAAUGCACUUUUCAGUUAACAAGUCAACAUCAAUUUCUUUCGCUGUAAAAAAGCUUGAGGAAGGUGGCUUGAGAUUCGUCUUAAGUGUUUAUAGCCUCUUGCCUAUGCAGUCGGAGAGAUUGAGGUCUGCAGCGUAGAUCCUUCGGGGCUAAAUGCAUUUGUGCUAAGUUAUAGCAUUUUAUAGACAACUUGUUGACUAUGAUUUGUCUUGUAGCUUACUCGCUUAUGUUAUUUUACCUACGCUUAGGAUGUUGAGUCAUCACACAUCUCU